AGAACGAACGCUGGCGGCAGGCUUAACACAUGCAAGUCGAACGGGCGUAGCAAUACGUCAGUGGCGGACGGGUGAGUAACACGUGGGAAUAUGCCUUUCGGUUCGGAACAACUCGGGGAAACUCGUGCUAAUUCCGGAUACGCCCUUACGGGGAAAGAUUUAUCGCCGAAAGAUUAGCCCGCGUUGGAUUAGCUAGUUGGUGAGGUAAUGGCCCACCAAGGCAACGAUCCAUAGCUGGUUUGAGAGAACGACCAGCCACACUGGGACUGAGACACGGCCCAGACUCCUACGGGAGGCAGCAGUGGGGAAUCUUGGACAAUGGGGGAAACCCUGAUCCAGCCAUGCCGCGUGAGUGAUGAAGGCCUUCGGGUUGUAAAACUCUUUCGCGCGCGACGAUAAUGACGGUAGCGCGAGAAGAAGCUCCGGCUACUUCGCGCCAGCAGCCGC
rnacentral:rRNA from 1 species